rnacentral:rRNA from 1 species
UACGAAGGGAGCUAGCGUUGUUCGGAAUUACUGGGCGUAAAGGGUGUGUAGGUGGUUUUUUAAGUGAGAUGUGAAAGCCCCGGGCUUAACCUGGGAAUGGCAUUUCAUACUGGAAGACUAAGUGUGUAAGAGGGGAAAGCGGAAUGGCGAGUGGAGCAGUGAAAUGCGUUGAUAUUCGUUGGAACACCAGAGGCGAAGGCGGCUUUCUAGCUUAUCACAGACACUAAGGCACUAAAGCGUGGGGAGCAAACAGGAUUAGAUACCCUGGUAGUCCACGCCCUAAACGAUGAGUGCUCGAUGUUGGAUGUUUUAGACAUUCAGUAUCUUAGCUAACGCGUUAAGCACUCCGCCUGGGGAGUACGGUCGCAAGAUUAAAACUCAAAGGAAUUGACGGGGAUCCGCACAAGCGGUGGAGUAUGUGGUUUAAUUCGAGGCUACGCGAAGAACCUUACCAACCUUUGCAUGGGAACAGCGUCUUUCUGAAAGGGAAGAGUCAUUUAGUUGGGUUCCACACAGGUGCUGCAUGGCUGUCGUCAGUUCGUGUCGUGAGAUGUUGGGUUAAGUCCCGCAACGAACGCGACCCUCGUCGCUAGUUGCCAGCGAGUCAAGUCGGGCACUUUAGCGAUACUGCCGGUGACAAACCGGAGGAAGGUGGGGAUGAUGUCAAGUCAUCAUGGCCCUUAUAGGUUGGGCUACACACGUACUACAAUGGGAGUGACAGAGGGAAGCAAAGCAGCAAUGCGGAGCAAAUCCCUAAAAGCUUCCUCAGUUCGGAUUGUCCUCUGCAACUCGAGGGCAUGAAGUCGGAAUCGCUAGUAAUCGCAGAUCAGCAGGCUGCGGUGAAUACGUUCUCGGAUCU